GACGAACGCUGGCGGCAUGCCUAACACAUGCAAGUCGAACGAGACCUUCGGGUCUAGUGGCGCACGGGUGCGUAACGCGUGGGAAUCUGCUCUUAGGUACGGAAUAACAGUUAGAAAUGACUGCUAAUACCGUAUAAUGACUCCGGUCCAAAGAUUUAUCGCCUAAGGAUGAGCCCGCGUAGGAUUAGCUUGUUGGUGAGGUAAAAGCUCACCAAGGCGACGAUCCUUAGCUGGUCUGAGAGGAUGAUCAGCCACACUGGGACUGAGACACGGCCCAGACUCCUACGGGAGGCAGCAGUGGGGAAUAUUGGACAAUGGGCGAAAGCCUGAUCCAGCAAUGCCGCGUGAAUGAUGAAGGCCUUAGGGUUGUAAAGCUCUUUUACCCGGGAAGAUAAUGACUGUACCGGGAGAAUAAG
rnacentral:rRNA from 1 species